GUCCAAUUUCAUUCUUUGCCAUGUAGAUAUCCAGCACCAUUUGUUGAAAAUCCACUUUCUGUUUUUAAAAGAUCAUUUUGGUUACUUUAUGACGAUGCAUUGUGGGGGUAAAGGUAGAAGCAGGGAGAAGAGUCAGAAGGGUAUCACAGUAGUCCAGGUGAGAGAUGAUAGUGUAGAGAUGAUAAUGAUGUAGAAAUAUGGUAGAUAAAGUAAAUAGCAGUAGACAUGGAGAAGAGAAAAUGGAUUUUAAAAUAUUUUGGAGGUAGAACUGAUAGCAUAUUUUCAUGCCUCGAAUAUAAGAUAGCAGGGAAAGGAAGGAUAAAGACUUACUUAAAUGUUUGACUUGAGUUUCAGGAGGGAUGGAAGUGACUGUGUGAACUUGGUUAAAUCACGUUCAGCUGUCUGAGCCUCAAUUAGUUUAUUUGCAAAAUGGCAAAAAUAGUAAAAAUAUCAACCCCACCAUAUCACAUAAUUGAAAGGGUAAUAUAAGAUAAUAAAUACGAAAAAAUUUUGAAACAUUUAAAGCAAUAAAACAAGUAGGGGCUGAUUGUAUUUUCAUUGUGGAAUUUGGAUUUUAACAGAGGGAUUCACGGAGACAAUAGACUAAUUUAACCUCAAGGAAUAAUAACAUUGAUGGCGGAAUUUCAGACGCUGUAGUUAUCACUCAAGCAAAGACCUUUUCUGGUGUCUCUCAAAUCACAACAUGCAGUUGGGAGAGGCAAUCCCUCGUGCGUCCUGGACAUCCCUGCAGAGGGUACCAACUGUGAGACAUAUCCCAUGUUAUUGAGCAGUUUCGAUAGUCAGAGGAGCAACUAAGUAGCUCAAGAUGUCAAAGAAGGAACUGCAUAUCCAUCAGUUCAACUCUCAGAUGCAAUAAGGCUACCUAUGGUAUCAUAAUAAACUGAAAUGCUUUUAUUAUCUUUUUUGCCUUUCCAAGAGAGGCAGUCUAAUGAUGAAUACCGACCUCAAUGCUUACUCACCUUGGGACCUUUCUGAGCAUCAGUGACUCAUCUACAGAAUGGGAUAAAACCACCAGGGCAAUGAAGAAAAUAAAGAGAAAAGCCACAGAACACAGGGUAUUUGGUUAAUGCUAGUCUACUUGGAUCAGAAUAUUAUUUGAGAGGAGGAGGAAAACCCAUUUUCUCUUCCCACGUUGGAUGAUGUGACCCCUGCAGUUUUUAAAAUAUAUUUAUUUAUUUAUUUAUUUUUGGCUGCAUUGGGUCUUCGUUGCUGCGCGUGGGCUUUCUCUAGUUGUGUCGAGC